rnacentral:rRNA from 1 species
UUGCACUCUGCAACUCGAGUGCAUGAAGUCGGAAUCGCUAGUAAUCGCAGGUCAGCAUACUGCGGUGAAUACGUUCCUGGGUCUUGUACACACCGCCCGUCACACCAUGGGAGUGGGGGAUACCAGAAGUAGGUAGGGUAACCGCAAGGAGUCCGCUUACCACGGUAUGCUUCAUGACUGGGGUGAAGUCGUAACAAGGUAGCCGUAGGGGAACC